GGCUCAGAGCGAACGCUGGCGGCAGGCUUAACACAUGCAAGUCGAGCGGGCGUAGCAAUACGUCAGCGGCAGACGGGUGAGUAACGCGUGGGAACGUACCUUUUGGUUCGGAACAACACAGGGAAACUUGUGCUAAUACCGGAUAAGCCCUUACGGGGAAAGAUUUAUCGCCGAAAGAUCGGCCCGCGUCUGAUUAGCUAGUUGGUGAGGUAAUGGCUCACCAAGGCGACGAUCAGUAGCUGGUCUGAGAGGAUGAUCAGCCACAUUGGGACUGAGACACGGCCCAAACUCCUACGGGAGGCAGCAGUGGGGAAUAUUGGACAAUGGGGGCAACCCUGAUCCAGCCAUGCCGCGUGAGUGAUGAAGGCCCUAGGGUUGUAAAGCUCUUUUGUGCGGGAAGAUA
rnacentral:rRNA from 1 species